rnacentral:misc_RNA from 1 species
GCAAACUUGGUCAUUUAGAGGAAGUAAAAGUCGUAACAAGGUUUCCGUAGGUGAACCUGCGGAAGGAUCAUUACCAACCUUUGGUGAGCCUUGGACUCGUCCAUGGUCUCGCGAAAUCUUGUAUUUAAAACCCGCUCAUAUAACUAAAAAAACAUGUAGUUGAUAUGAUAAUUAAAGAUCACUUUCAACAACGGAUCUCUUGGCUCUCAGAUGUGUAUAAGAGACAGGCAAACUUGGUCAUUUAGAGGAAGUAAAAGUCGUAACAAGGUUUCCGUAGGUGAACCUGCGGAAGGAUCAUUACCAACCUUUGGUGAGCCUUGGACUCGUCCAUGGUCUCGCGAAAUCUUGUAUUUAAAACCCGCUCAUAUAACUAAAAAAACAUGUAGUUGAUAUGAUAAUUAAAGAUCACUUUCAACAACGGAUCUCUUGGCUCUCGCAUCGAUGAAGAACGCAGC